GAGGAAUAUUGGUCAAUGGGCGAGAGCCUGAACCAGCCAAGUAGCGUGAAGGAUGAAGGCUCUAUGGGUCGUAAACUUCUUUUAUAUGGGAAUAAAGUAUUCCACGUGUGGAAUUUUGUAUGUACCAUAUGAAUAAGGAUCGGCUAACUCCGUGCCAGCAGCCGCGGUAAUACGGAGGAUCCGAGCGUUAUCCGGAUUUAUUGGGUUUAAAGGGAGCGUAGGUGGAUUGUUAAGUCAGUUGUGAAAGUUUGCGGCUCAACCGUAAAAUUGCAGUUGAAACUGGCAGUCUUGAGUACAGUAGAGGUGGGCGGAAUUCGUGGUGUAGCGGUGAAAUGCUUAGAUAUCACGAAGAACUCCGAUUGCGAAGGCAGCUCACUAGACUGUCACUGACACUGAUGCUCGAAAGUGUGGGUAUCAAAC
rnacentral:rRNA from 1 species